AGGGUCAUGUCAGCAUGUCCUUGUCUCCUACCUGGACCUUUUGGGAGGAAGCAGAAGCUUUCUCAGAAACAACUCUCACCUACUUUUAGGUCUCACUGGUGAGAACUCAGACGCAUGGCCACUGGAUGCAAGCAGGUAUAAAAACUGAGAAAUUCUGUGGUAUGUACUUACACUGGAAUAUGAUUCAGCCGUAAAAAGGAAUGAAAUUCUGAUGCAACACAGAUGAAUCUUGAAAACGUUAAGUGAUGGAAGCCAGACAGAAAACGACAAAUACUGUAUGAUUCCACUUACAUGAGAAGACAGCUGGAUUCUCCUAUCGGCUCCUGCAAUGUUUCAUUAUCACAUGUCAUAUAACAUCAGGAAAAUGUGACUGUAUGCUCGUGAAAGGAUGGG